rnacentral:tRNA from 1 species
GCCCAGCUAGCUCAAUUGGUAGAGCAUGAGAAUUUCAAUCUUAGGGUUGUGGGUUUGAGCCCCACAUUGGGUG